rnacentral:rRNA from 1 species
UACGUAGGUGGCAAGCGUUGUCCGGAAUUAUUGGGCGUAAAGCGCGCGCAGGCGGUCCUUUAAGUCUGAUGUGAAAUCCCACGGCUCAACCGUGGAAGGUCAUUGGAAACUGGGGGACUUGAGUACAGAAGAGGAAAGCGGAAUUCCAAGUGUAGCGGUGAAAUGCGUAGAGAUUUGGAGGAACACCAGUGGCGAAGGCGGCUUUCUGGUCCAGCACCGACGUUCAGGCACGAAAGCGUGGGGAGCAAACAGG